UUAUCAGCAAAAUCAGCCUGGUCUCACAGAAUUACGUGAAAUGAUCCCGAACUGUUAACACCGCAUUACGUGGUGGUGACAAGGAAUUUGUGAAAGGUCUGUGUGGCCAGCACGGAAAACCAUUCCAAUGUAAAGUCUAUGAGAAGAUGCCGAAGCAUUAGGAGCAAAUAUGGUGGCGAGUAGUAUGA